rnacentral:rRNA from 1 species
UAAAGGUCGAAAGGGGAGAUUCAGUAUCCAGUCCUCACCGCCGCUUCGCGCCGCCGGGUAUAACUUGGGAUCGCCCCUCGGGGUGGUCCCGGGCCCGCGGCGCGUCUCGCGCGCGGGAGGUGGAGCGCACUUCUCCCCGAGUAGGACGUCGUGACCCGCUGGGUGUCGGUCUGAGGUCUGGGUGCGAGCCCGGGCCGCGGUUCGCCGCGGCCCGGAGCCCCGGUGUCCCGACCGACUGCCCGGCGGUAGAACGUAAGGAAUCGGCCCGCGGGACCUCUCGGUCACGCGCCCGUGCCUCUUGCGAGCGUCCGGUCGCGUUUCCCGUCGUGCGGACUUGUCCGCCGCGGGCCGGCUGGCGUUGUCGGCUUGGGGAUUUCUCGGGCAGCGGCCUUC